rnacentral:rRNA from 1 species
GAUGAACGCUGGCGGCGUGCCUAAUACAUGCAAGUCGAGCGAACAGACGAGGAGCUUGCUCCUCUGACGUUAGCGGCGGACGGGUGAGUAACACGUGGAUAACCUACCUAUCAGACUGGGAUAACUUCGGGAAACCGGAGCUAAUACCGGAUAAUAUCUUGAACCGCAUGGUUCAAUAGUGAAAGACGGCUUUGCUGUCACUUAUAGAUGGAUCCGCGCCGCAUUAGCUAGUUGGUAAGGUAACGGCUUACCAAGGCAACGAUGCGUAGCCGACCUGAGAGGGGGAUCGGCCACACGGGAGCUGAGACACGGUCCAGACUCCUACGGGAGGCAGCAGUAGGGAAUCUUCCGCAAUGGGCGAAAGCCUGACGGAGCAACGCCGCGUGAGUGAUGAAGGUCUUCGGAUCGUAAAACUCUGUUAUUAGGGAAGAACAAAUGUGUAAGUAACUAUGCACGUCUUGACGGUACCUAAUCAGAAAGCCACGGCUAACUACGUG